rnacentral:rRNA from 1 species
UACAGAGGGUGCAAGCGUUAAUCGGAAUUACUGGGCGUAAAGCGUGCGUAGACGGUUAUGUAAGUCGGGUGUGAAAGCCCCGGGCUCAACCUGGGAAUUGCAUUCGAGACUGCAUAGCUAGGGUGCGGAAGAGGGAAGCGGAAUUUCCGGUGUAGCGGUGAAAAUGCGUAGAUAUUACCAGGAACACCAAUGGCGAAGGCAGCUUGCUGGGCCAUAUCUGACACUGAGACACGAAAGCGUGGGGAGCGAACAGG